rnacentral:rRNA from 1 species
UACGUAGGGUGCAAGCGUUGUCCGGAAUUAUUGGGCGUAAAGAGCUCGUAGGCGGCUUGUUGCGUCGUCCGUGAAAACCUGUGGCUACAACUACAGGCUUGCGGUCGAUACGGGCGGGCUGGAGUUCGGUAGGGGAGACUGGAAUUCCUGGUGGUGAGCGGUGAAAUGCGUAGAUAUCGAGAGGAACACCUGCGGCGAAGGCGGGUAGCUGGGCCGACACUGACGCUGAGGCGCGAAAGCCAGGGGAGCGAACGGGG